rnacentral:rRNA from 1 species
GAUGAACGCUGGCGGCGUGCCUAAUACAUGCAAGUCGAGCGAACGGACGAGAAGCUUGCUUCUCUGAUGUUAGCGGCGGACGGGUGAGUAACACGUGGAUAACCUACCUAUAAGACUGGGAUAACUUCGGGAAACCGUAGCUAAUACCGGAUAAUAUUUUGAACCGCAUGGUUCAAAAGUGAAAGACGGUCUUGCUGUCACUUAUAGAUGGAUCCGCGCUGCAUUAGCUAGUUGGUAAGGUAACGGCUUACCAAGGCAACGAUGCAUAGCCGACCUGAGAGGGUGAUCGGCCACACUGGAACUGAGACACGGUCCAGACGCCUACGGGAGGCAGCAGUAGGGAAUCUUCCGAAAUGGGCGAAAGCCUGACGGAGCAACGCCGCGUGAGUGAUGAAGGUCUUCGGAUCGUAAAACUCUGUUAUUAGGGAAGAACAUAUGUGUAAGUAACUGUGCACAUCUUGACGGUACCUAAUCAGAAAGCCACGGCUAACUACGUG